UUUGUGGAGAGUUUGAUCCUGGCUCAGGAUGAACGCUGGCGGCGUGCUUAACACAUGCAAGUCGAACGGAAAGGCCCAAGCUUGCUUGGGUACUCGAGUGGCGAACGGGUGAGUAACACGUGGGUGA
rnacentral:rRNA from 1 species